CUUUUGAUUGAAUGAAAUUUUCUGCUGAGACUUGCUUAAGCCAACUUUCCUUCCGAAAGUCUCUCCUAGCUUAAAUCUUUCUCUACAACUUCCUUCCUUGUAUGAAAGGCUGCCUGAGUUGUAGCCACCUCCUAAGCAUAGCCUCCAUUUCCACAUCUCCAUAAAUUACACCUACUUCCGCUGCCAUGGACAUUUCCUCUGCUGCCUCUGACC
rnacentral:lncRNA from 1 species